UACGUAGGGUCCGAGCGUUGUCCGGAAUUAUUGGGCGUAAAGAGCUCGUAGGCGGCAUGUCGCGUCUGCUGUGAAAGACCGGGGCUCAACUUCGGUUUUGCAGUGGAUACGGGCAUGCUAGAGGUAGGUAGGGGAGUCUGGAAUUCCUGGUGUAGCGGUGAAAUGCGCAGAUAUCAGGAGGAACACCGGUGGCGAAGGCGGGACUCUGGGCUGUAACUGACGCUGAGGCUCGAAAGCGUGGGUAGCAAACGGGAUUAGAUACCCGUGUAGU
rnacentral:rRNA from 1 species